GGGCGGUUAGCUCAGCUGGUUAGAGCGCCACAUUGACAUUGUGGAGGUCAGAGGUUCGAGUCCUCUACCGCCCA
rnacentral:tRNA from 1 species